rnacentral:rRNA from 1 species
UACGUAGGGUGCAAGCGUUGUCCGGAAUUAUUGGGCGUAAAGAGCUCGUAGGCGGUUUGUCGCGUCUGCUGUGAAAUCCCGAGGCUCAACCUCGGGUCUGCAGUCGAUACGAGCAAACUAGAGUGUUGCAGGGGGAGACUGGAAUUCCUGGUGUAGCGGUGAAAUGCGCAGAUAUCAGGAGGAACACCGGUGGCGAAGGCGGGUCUCUGGGCAACAACUGACGCUGAGGAGCGAAAGCGUGGGGAGCGAACAGG